AUACAUGCAAGUCGAGCGAACGGACGAGAAGCUUGCUUCUCUGAUGUUCGCGGCGGAGGGGUGAGUAACACGUGGAUCACCUACCUAUAACACUGGGAUAACUUCGGGAAACCGGAGCUAACACCGGAGAAGUUUUGAACCGCGGGGUUCACAAGUGAAGGACGGUCUUGCUGUCAUUUAUAGAUGGAUCCCCGCUGCAUUAGCUGGUUGGUAAGGUAACGGCUUACCAGGGCAACAAUCCAAACCCAACCUGAGGGGGUGAUCGGCCACACGGGAACUGAAACACGGUCCAAACCCCAACGGGGGGCAGCAUUGGGGAAUCUCCCGCAUGGGGCAAAGGCCUGACGGACCACCGCCCCGGGAGUGAUGAAGGUCUUCGGAUCGUAAAACUCUUUUAUUAGGGAAAAACAUAUCUGUUAGUAACUGUGCACAUCUUGACGGUACCUAAUCAGAAAGCCACGGCUAACUACGUGCCAGCAGCCGCGGUAAUACAUAUGUGGCAAGCGUUAUCCGGAAUUAUUGGGCGUAAAGCGCGCGUAGGCGGUUUUUUAAGUCUGAUGUGAAAGCCCACGGCUCAACCGUGGAGGGUCAUUGGAAACUGGAAAACUUGAGUGCAGAAGAGGAAAGUGGAAUUCCAUGUGUAGCGGUGAAAUGCGCAGAGAUGUGGAGGAACACCAGUGGCGAACGCGACUUUCUGGUCUGUAACUGACGCUUAUGUGCGAAAGCGUGGGGAUCAAACAGGAUUAGAUACCCUGGUAGUCCACGCCAUACACGAUGAGUGCUAAGUGUUAGGGGGUUUCCGCCCCUUAGUGCUGCAGCUACGCAUAGCACUCCCCCCGGGGAGUACGACCGCAGGUUGAAACUCAAGGAUUGACGGGACCCGCACAAGCGUGGAGCAUGUGGUUUAUUCGAGCACGCGAGACUUACCAAUCUGACUCCUCUGACACUCUAGAGAUGAGCUUCCCUUCGGGGACAAGUGACGGUGUGCAUGUUGUCGUCAGCUCGUGUCGUGAGAUGUGGGUUAAGUCCCGCAACGA
rnacentral:rRNA from 1 species